rnacentral:rRNA from 1 species
GUGGGGAAUCUUGCGCAAUGGGCGAAAGCCUGACGCAGCCAUGCCGCGUGAAUGAUGAAGGUCUUAGGAUUGUAAAAUUCUUUCACCGGGGACGAUAAUGACGGUACCCGGAGAAGGAGCUCCGGCUAACUUCGUGCCAGCAGCCGCGGUAAUACGAAGGGGACUAGCGUUGCUCGGAAUUACUGGGCGUAAAGGGCGCGUAGGCGGACAGCUUAGUCAGAGGUGAAAGCCCAGGGCUCAACCUUGGAAUUGCCUUUGAUACUGGCUGUCUUGAGUUUGGGAGAGGUGAGUGGAACUCCGAGUGUAGAGGUGAAAUUCGUAGAUAUUCGGAAGAACACCAGUGGCGAAGGCGACUCACUGGCCCAAUACUGACGCUGAGGCGCGAAAGCGUGGGGAGCAAACAGGAUUAGAAACCCUGGUAGUCC